AUUGAACGCUGGCGGCAGGCCUAACACAUGCAAGUCGAGCGAGCGGCGGACGGGUGAGUAAUGUCUGGGGAUCUGCCUGAUGGCGGGGGAUAACUACUGGAAACGGUAGCUAAUACCGCAUACCAUCAGAUGAACCCAUAUGGGAUUAGCUAGUAGGUGAGGUAACGGCUUACCUAGGCGACGAUCCCUAGCUGGUAUGAGAGGAUGAGCAGCCACACUGGAACUGAGACACGGCCCAGACUCCUACGGGAGGCAGCAGUGGGGAAGAUUGCACAAGGGGCGCAAGCCUGAUGCAGCCAUGCCGCGUGUAUGAAGAAGGCCUUCGGGUUGUAAAGUACUUUCAGUCGGGAGGCGUUACCCACAGAAGAAGCACCGGCUAACUCCGUGCCAGCAGCCGCGGUAAUUC
rnacentral:rRNA from 1 species